GACGAACGCUGGCGGCGUGCUUAACACAUGCAAGUCGAACGAUGAACCAGGGCGUUGCCCUGGGAAGUCAGUGGCGAACGGGUGAGUAACACGUGGGCAACCUGCCCCAGACACCGGGAUAACCAUCCGAAAGGAUGGCUAAUACCGGAUAUGACCACUUUGGGCAUCCAACGGUGGUGGAAAGGAUUCUGGUCUGGGAUGGGCCCGCGGCCUAUCAGCUAGUUGGUGGGGGUAAUGGCCUACCAAGGCGACGACGGGUAGCCGGCCUGAGAGGGCGACCGGCCACACUGGGACUGAGACACGGCCCAGACUCCUACGGGAGGCAGCAGUGGGGAAUAUUGCGCAAUGGGCGAAAGCCUGACGCAGCGACGCCGCGUGAGGGACGAAGGUCUUCGGAUUGUAAACCUCUUUCAGCAGGGACGAAGCGAAAGUGACUGUACCUGUAGAAGAAGCACCGGCUAACUACGU
rnacentral:rRNA from 1 species